rnacentral:rRNA from 1 species
AUUGAACGCUGGCGGCAGGCUUAACACAUGCAAGUCGAGCGGAGCGAGGGUGCUUGCACCUUAGCUUAGCGGCGGACGGGUGAGUAAUGCUUAGGAAUCUGCCUAUUAGUGGGGGACAACAUUCCGAAAGGAAUGCUAAUACCGCAUACGCCCUACGGGGGAAAGCAGGGGAUCUUCGGACCUUGCGCUAAUAGAUGAGCCUAAGUCGGAUUAGCUAGUUGGUGGGGUAAAGGCCUACCAAGGCGACGAUCUGUAGCGGGUCUGAGAGGAUGAUCGCCCACACUGGGACUGAGACACGGCCCAGACUCCUACGGGAGGCAGCAGUGGGGAAUAUUGGACAAUGGGCGGAAGCCUGAUCCAGCCAUGCCGCGUGUGUGAAGAAGGCCUUUUGGUUGUAAAGCACUUUAAGCGAGGAGGAGGCUACUUAGAUUAAUACUCUGGGAUAGUGGACGUUACUCGCAGAAUAAGCACCGGCUAACUCUGUGCCAGCCGCCGCCGUAAGAC